rnacentral:rRNA from 1 species
GCGAUAAGUAAUGUGAAUUGCAGAAUUCAGUGAAUCAUCGAAUCUUUGAACGCACCUUGCGCUCCUUGGUAUUCCUUGGAGCAUGCCUGUUUGAGUAUCAUGAAAUUCUCAAAACAAAUCUUUUGUUCAUUCGAUUGGUUUUGUUUUGGACUUGGAGGUUUUUGCGGAUUCACGUCUGCUCCUCUUAAAAAUAUUAGCUGGAUCUCAGUAAACUUGGUUCCACUCGGCGUGAUAAGUAUCACUCGCUGAGGACACCCCGUAAAAAAAAGGUGGCCAGGAUUGCGGAUGAACCGCUUCUAAUAGUCUAUUAAAUUAGACAAUAUACUUUAUGAUCUGAUCUCAAAUCAGGUAGGACUACCCGCUGAACUUAAGCAUAUCAAUAAGCGGAGGAAAAGAAACU